GGUACCUUCCGAUCAUGCCUAGUUUCAGGCAUCUGGGAGUUGUGGUAAGUUUUUCUAGGGGUCUAUGUCUUCGGCUUUUGGAAAUUCAGUUUGCGCUCUGAUUCGUUUCUGGUUUUGUGUUUUCGUAUUGCGUAGAUACAGUUUCAGGUUUUGAUUUGAACGAUCAUCAAAGACAUUGCUUUCGGUCCUUUUCUUUCUUGCAGCAUAUCUAGGGAUUUUGUUUGCGCUCUGAUUCUUUUAUUAGUUGAUCUGCUUAUGUUUGCGAUAUGGCGAUUUCGUAUUGUGUAGAUACAAUUUCAAGCUGAUUUUGAAGGAUCAUCAGAGAUUCAUAAUUUGGAAUAUGAAUUCAAGUUGGUAUGGGUUACUUUUCCCGUGAAUUUCUUUGAAAUCUUCGAGUUGUGCUUUAGAUUGGCUUCUAAAUUUCGAUUUAGGAUAUUGGAUUUUUUGGUUGGAUGAUGCAGGAAUUCGAGAUUUGCUUUUUGAAAUAUGGUUUUUGGAUUUUUCAUAGAAGAUUACUCGCUCUAAUAUAUGUGCCUUCGGUGAGGUGUUUUGUUGGAUUCUGGUAACUCUUGUCCCUGACAAUUAUUAUCCAAUUUUUCCCUAAACCCUAAAUUGCAGUUUGUGAAUUUUUCUUAUAAGAAGUUUUACGGUAAAAAUUCCACGGGAUGAUGCAUUGAAGUCGGUAAUAAGCUAUCUGUUCUAUUUGAUUUAGGGUUUAUAGUAUAUAUUGGGUUUUGUCCUGGAUUUUUUAGGCUUUGAUCAUGUGUUCUUUAUAUAUUCAGGUUCAGGUAUAAAGAGUGUAAUUGGUUGUGUGGGUUAGUAAGUUUUCCGUUUAUUAAUUUGAUUAAUGAUUGAUUCAAUAUAGGGACGGAGGGCGGAAUGCCUAGGAAUUUGAGAUCAGUUAUGCCUGGUUUGAAACAUAUUUUUUUCACAUGUUUGCAUCUCAAUUGUUGAGUCAUUGAUAUAUUUUCUGUCUCUUUUCAAUACUGUUGGUAUCUUUAGAGUUCUACAUUUUGAAAGAUUGCAGUACCUGCUGUUGAACUGGUCAGAUCUGUUUGUUUGUUUGUCCUUUUUUGGUUACUUUUAAUUAAUUUUAGUGAGUGGACGAGAGGUACAGUCACCAAAUCUCUUCGGGAUUUUUGUUAGCAAUUUGUGUCUGCAGUACAUAGAAUGUUGCUACACAAAACAUGGAUGGUGAAACAUUGAAAGGUUGUAGAGUUGCAUGGCUACAGGACUGUUGUAAGUUUCUUUCUGCAUUAAUAUUCAGUAUUAUGAAUAUGCGUGCUAAAAAAGAGAGUUGUUCUAUAUUUGUAAGGUAUUUUUUAUGUAAUAGUAGAUAAUUUGUUCUCUCGAAGUCGUCCAUGCAGUUUGUCUUGUAGGUGAUUUUUUAAGAGGAAAACGCUUUGCUCAUCAAAAGAUUCAGGCUUACUUCCAAUUUAUUAUUAUUAUCAUUUAUUAUUCAAGUAUUGUUUUUGAAGAUUUGGUGGCAUUUAUUUUUAAAUUUUUUUUUUUGAGUGUUUUUAUUGGGAUUUCUACUUUUCUUUUCAGUUUUUAUUUUUAGUGUUGCGCCAGACUUAAAACCUUCCAUCUGUUGUGUCCUGGACCAAGUUCUACUCUUACACCAGUUGUACUUGGUGGAAAGGUUAGUGCCUUGUUUGCCAGCAAUUUUUUUUAAGGCAAAUCUAAGCACAUGUUUGUUGCAGAUGAAAACAUAUGGGUUUUGCUGGUAAUUUUUAUUGAGCUGGUAUAUUGGUUUUCAAUAGCACGGGGGUUUUGCAACAUAUCUGCCAGUGUGGAUGAGCUUUCUUGGAGAGUUGCGGGAACUACGACAAUGAUUUUUUCAACUGUUGGCGUAACACUCAUAAAAAUUUGAUGUGACUUAUUAAUAUUGUUUUUUCGUAAACUAUUUCGAUUUUAUUCACUAGUUGCUAGUGAAUUAUGAUGAUGUUCACUUGCACUGGUUAUGCAACUAGGGAACGACUCUGAUCUAUAUUUUGGGCACUGAAUGCUAAGGAUUAGAAGAAGAAUAUCAAGAUGAAUGGCAAAUGUGAUUUCGUUUGGGAUGACUUACGUCACACGGUGCUGCUUUUCGUAACUUUUAAUUUGAUAUUGAAGUACAGAAAUGCUGUAAAUUUUGAAUUAGUUAUGCCUGGUUUGCGUCUUCUCCUCCUAUGUUUGCACCUCAAAAUUAACACUUCCUCCUCUUUUGCAACCCUGCUCAUAACUUUUUUAUUUUUCAUGUUGUUCACAUUUUUUUUUUUACUACUAGGUGUUUGUCUUUGAAGAACAUAGAACAUGCAGCUGUACCUAUUGAUACACUGGUAGCCGUAUAUGCUAAUUCACUACAUUGUUUUUUUUUUAAUUUUUGGGGACCCCUUACCCCCUACUUCCUUCUCUCUUCUCUUGGUUUUAUUAGGCAGAUAGAUGUACUCCCAUCCACACUUGCACAAAAUUUUCUAAGCAACUUGCCAAAGGUAUGCAUAAUUAUAUCCCAUUCUGAUCAUGGAUGGCGAAUCAUUGUGUAGAUACAAUUUCUGGCUGAUUUUGAAGGAUCAUCAAAGAUAUCCUAAUUUGGAAUAUGAAUUCGAGUUGGUAUGGGUUACUUUUCCCGUGAAAUUCUUUGAAAAUUUUCUAGUUGUGCUGUAUUGGUUUGUAAAUUUCAAUUUAGGAUAUUGGAUUUUUUGGUUGGAUGUUGCAGGAGUUCGAGAUUUUCUUUUUGAAAUGUGGCUUUUGGAUAUUUCAUGGAAGAUUACUCGCUCUAAUUUGUUCUGUUGGAUUCUGGUCACUCUUGUCCCUUAUUAUCCAAAAUUUUCCUAAACCCUAAAUUGCAGUUUGUGAAUUAUUCUUAUAAGAAGCUUUACGUAAAAAUUCCAUGGGAUGUUGUAUUCAAGUUGGUAAUAAGCUGGGUCUAUGGCAUAUAUUGGGUUUUGUCCUGGAUUUUUAGGCUUUGACCAUUUGUUCUUUCUAUAUUAAGGUUCAGGUAUAAAGAGUGUAAUUGGUUGUGGGUUAGUAUGUUUUCCGUUUAUUAGGUUCAGGUAUAAAGACUGUAAUUGGUUGCGAGUUAGUAAGUUUUCUGUUUAUUAGUUUGAUUGAUGAUUGAUUCAAUAGAGGGAUGGAGGGCGGAAUGCUUGGGAAUUUGAGAUCAGUUAUGCCUGGUUUGAAACAUCUUUUUUCAGAUGUUUUCAUCUCAAUUGUUUAGUCAAUUGAUAUAUUUUCCGUCUCUUUCAAUGCUGUUAGUAACUUUUGUCUCUGUUAGAGGUCUACAUUUUAAAGGAUUGCAGUACCUGCUGUUGAACUGGUCAGACCUAUUUGUUUACUUGUCCCUUUUUUGGUUUCCCCUGUCCCAUUUUUCUUUGGUUACUCGUAAUUAAGUUUAGUGAGUUGAUGAGAGGUACAGUCACCCAAUCUCUUCUGGUAAGAUUUUUAUUUGAGUUGUUCUAUAUUUGUAAGAUAUUUUUUGUGUAAUAGUAGAUAAUUUGUUCUCUCGGAGUCAUCCAUGCAGGUAGUUUUGUAGGUGAUUUUUUAAGAGGAAAACGGUCUUUGCUUAUCAAAAGAUUCAGGCUUACUUUCAAUUUAUUAUUAUUAUUUAUUAUUCAAGUAUCGUUUUUGAAGAUUUGUUGGCAUUUAUUAUAUUUUCUUUUUUUGUUGUUUUGAUUGGGAGUUCUACUUUUCCAUUCAAUUUUUAUUUUUAGUGUUGCGCUAGACUCAAAACCUUCCAUCUGUUGUGUCGUGGACCAAGUUCUACUCUUACUCUUACACCAGUUGUACCUAGUGGAAAGGUUAGUGCCUUGUUUGCUACCAAAUUUUUUUAGGCAAAUCUAAGCACAUGUUUGGUGCAGAUGAAAACAUAUGGGUUUUGCUGGUGAUUUUUAUUGAUCUGGUAUAUUGGUUUUCAAUACCACAGGUUUUUUGCAGCAUAUCUGGGAGUAUGGAUGAAGUUUUUUGGAGAGUUGUUACGGGAACUACGACAAUGAUGUUUUUCAACUGUUGGCGUAACCCUCGUAAAAAUUUGGUGCAACUUAUUAAUAUCGUUUUUCCAUAAACUAUUUCGAUUUUCUUCGUUAGUUGCUAGUGAAUUAUGAUGAUGUUCACUUGCAUUGGUUAUGCUACUAGGGAACGACUCUGAUCUAUAUUUUGGGCACUGAAUGCUAAAGAUUAGAAGAAUUUCAUGAUGAAUGGCAAAUUUGAUUUUGUUGGGGAUGACUUGCGUCACAGGGUGCUGCUUUUCUUAACUUUUGAUUUGAUGUAGCAGUAUGAUUAGCCCUUGUUUGUUUCUUAUUUGAUUUCAUUAUUUUAAGGUUUUUUUAGUGAUUGGGAUUCACGAAUGAGUAUUAUUGCUUGGCAGAUUUGAUGUAGGGAUGCAGGACAGAAAUGCCUGUAAAUUUUGAAUUAGUUAUGCCUGUUUUGCACGUCUUCCCCUCCUAUGAUUGUAUCUUAAAAUUAACAUUCUUCCCUUCGUCCUCUUUUGCAAUCGUGCUCAUAUCUUUUUUAUUUUUCAUUUUGUUCACAUUUUUUUCUUCUACUAAUUGGUUGUCUUUGAAGGACAUAGAACAUGUAGGCGUACCUGUUGAUAAACUGGUAGCCGUAUAUGCUAAUUCCCUUUUGUUGUUGAUUUUUUUUUUUUUUUCCUUCUCUUUUGUGGGUUUUUGGUGGUGUUUUUACCCCCACCCACUACCCCCCUACUUCCGUGUUCUCUGAGUUUUAUUAGGCAGAUGAGACGUACUGCCAUCCACACACAUGAAAUUUUGUUAGCAAUUUGCCGAAGGUAUGCCGAAUUAUAUCCCAUUCUGAUCAUGGAUUGUGAAGCAUUGUGUAGAUACAAUUUCUGGCUGAUUUUAAAGGAUCAUCCAAGAUAUGAUAAUUUGGAAUAUGAAUUCGAGUUUGUAUGGGUUACUUUUCCUAUGAAAUUCUUUGAAAUCUUCGAGUUGUUCUUUAGAUUGGUUUCGAUUUAGGAUAUUGGAUUUUUUGGUUUGGUGAUGGAGGAAUUCGAAAUUUUAUUUUUGGAAUAUUGGUUUUUGGAUUUUUCUUUGAUUUAGGGUUUUAUAGUAAAUAAUGGUUUUUGUCCUGGAUUUUUUUGGCUUUUAUCAUGUGUUCUAUAUUCAGGCUUGCUUCCAAUUUAUUAUUAUUCAAGUAUCUUUUUUGAAGAUUUGUUGGCAUUUAUUUAAAAAAAAAAAAAUAGAAUUUUUGGUGUUUUGAUUGGAAGUUCUACUUUUCUUUUCAAUUUUUAUUUUUAGUGUUGUGCUGGACUCAAAUUCUUCCAUCUGUUGUGUCCUACACUUACACCAGUUGUACCUAGUGGAAAGGUUAGUGCCUUGUUUGCCACCAAUUUUUUUUAGGCAAAUCUAGGCACAUGUUUGUUGCAGUAGAUGAAAACAUCUGGGUUUUGCUGGUAAUUUUUAUUGAGCUGGUUUAUUGGUUUUCAAUACCAUGGGGUUUUUGCAGCAUAUCUGGGAGUGUGGAUCAACUUUAUUGGAGAGUUGUUGCAAGAACUACGACAAUGAUGUUUUUCAACUAUUGGCGUAAACCUUGUUAAAGUUUGAUGGAACUUAUUAAUAUUGUUUUUCAUAAACUGUUUCGACUUUAUUUGUUAGUUGCUAGUGAAUUAUGAUAAUGUUGUUCACUUGCAUUGGUUAUGCAACUAGGGAACGAUUCUGAUCUAUAUUUUGGGCACUGAAUGCCAAAGGUUAGAAGAAGAAUAUCAAGAUGAAUGGCAAAUUUGAUUUUGUUGGGGAUGAGUUGCGUCACAGGGUGCUGCUUUUCCUAACUUUACUGCUUUUCCUAACUUUUAAUUUGAUGUAGCAAUUUGAUGUAGGGGUGGAGGACAGAAAUGCCUGUAAAUUUUGAAUGAGUUAUGCCUGGUUUGCACGUCUUCCCCUCCUACGUGAUAUCUCAAAAUUAACCCUCCCCCCUUCCUCCUCUUUUGCAGUCCCGAUCAUAUAUUUUCUAUUUGUUAUUUUGUUCACAUAUUUUCUUCUACUAAUUGGUUGUCUUUUAAGGAUAUGGAACAUGUAGCUCUACUUGUUGAUAAACUGGUAGCCGGAUAUGCUAAUUCACUUUCAUUGUUGAUUUUUGAUUUUUUGAUUUUUUAAUUUUUUUUAAUUUUUUGGUGGUGUUUUUGCCCCCUCCUCCGGUCUUCUUUCAGUUUUUUUAGGCUUAGUCUAACAGAUGAGCUGUACUGCAGUCCACACUCUCAUAUGAAAUUUUGUGAGCAAUUUGCCAAAGGUAUGCAGGAUUAUAUCCCAUUCUGAUCAUGGAUGGCGGAUCAUUGUUAGGAAACAUUGUAAGGCUUCUAGUUUCUUUUUGAUUCAUAUUCCUUAUCCGUAUACAUGCUUAAAAAUAGAGGUUUCCAGCUGCAUGACUUUCCAGCUGCAUGACUAGUUCCUUUUAGGACUCAUGUAACAUCAAUAUUUCCGAUUACAAGUGGUUCAGUUAUUUGCUUUCUACCCUUGGGGUUUUUUGAUUCUGUUAGGUUAUUAUGUUAGGUCCUGUAUGGAGGUUAUCUCCUUGUCAAUUGUCGCUGGUGGAAAGGCUAGCGUCUUGGAGAGGUUUUAAAAAGCGGUCGCAACCGUUACGUAACGGUUUUGGCAGUGACUGCCAUCCGUUACGGUCGCUUUUGUAGUGUGAUUGAGAUUCACAGGUGUGUCGGCCGUAGCGGUUGCCGUAGCGGUCGUAACGGUGCUGUAACAGUCGUAACGGCCUGUUACGCACCGUUACGUAACGGUUCCAAACUGUUUCUUUCGAAA